rnacentral:lncRNA from 1 species
AUUGGACAGUACUUCAUGCUAAAUGCUUUUUUUUUUUUUUGAGAAGGUAACUUCAUGCUGAAUGCCUGAUGGUUGCUGAUUUGAAGCUCAACAAACUACUCCAGUUAAUUAAAACAUCGGAAAUCCAGCAAUCUCCAAAUUUCACUCUCUACUAAGUUGUGUUUAAGAAUGUUUAUCCCUAGGUAAGAUAAAAAGUAUAAUGCCCCCUUUUCCUUUUUUGAGACGGAACAACGCACCCCUUUUCCUUUCUCAUUAACAUCGGAAAUCCAGCAAUCUCCAAAUUUCACUCUCUACUAAGUUGUGUUUAAGAAUGUUUAUCACUAGGUAAGAUAAAAAGUAUAAUGCCCCCUUUUCCUUUUUUGAGACGGAACA